rnacentral:misc_RNA from 1 species
CUUCCACAUAUUCAUCAUCAUCAUCUAUCCAGUCCCAGUUUUUGCAGAUCAUCAGAAAAUCUCCUGCCACUGAUUCCACCAAGUAGUUUUGCCUUGUUUGAUAAAGUUGGGCUGGAGGCUCAAUCGCUAUAAUAAUCUUUGGAUUGGGUCCAAGCUCGCAGGUAUAAAUUUUCCCUCGGAUAUCUGUGGCGUAAAGUUGACCCUUGUAGAACAUAAUGUCAACAAAAGAUAGCUCCUCUUGAUCUUGUAAAACUAUCCAUUCUCCAUCUCCUGGUCUCCAGAAGGCUAGUUUUCGUUCAGAAUCUAUGCCAAAAAUUAACAAAACAAUGCAAUUUGGGUCUGAAGGACUUAGUGAUAUAAUGCAUCUCUUUAUGAAACCCCGGAUUCUUUGGCACUGGAAAGUAGGGAAUUUACUUGCUGAUGGAAGAAAGAUUUCGUUUCUUGAUAUGAGAUUCCAAAGAUUUACCUUGUAAGGGAAAGAGAGGCUUAUGGUUAGUAGCCACCUAUUAUUAUUAGAAUUACAAAUCCAGCAGUCUGGAGCCUUUGGAAGAUUGAUUUGUUGUGCCUCUUCCGUCAAAACAUCGCACAAGUUGCCAUCAUCUUCUCCUUAGUUGAAUAUCAACAGCAAUGGAAUUUUGAUAUAAUUCCUAUGUACCCGGGUGGCUACCAAUCUCCAAGAAGAACAGACAUGGAGGCACCAAUGUCCAAAACGUUGUUUAACCGGUUCAAGAUUAGCUCGAGGAGAUCAUCUGGUAGACUGGACCAAGAACAAGAUGAAUAAGAAGAAGAAACUUCCAUCUAUGCUUAAAGUUAUAUACAAAGGCAUCAAGGGUCUUGAUCCUAUGCUCUAGCUUAUCAAGACUCGAGCAGAAGGGUUAUAACAGAUGGAAAGAUUCAAAGAUUAAUCUAUGAGAGAUGAACAGAGAGGAAACAGAAUCAAGGAGGUUUGUAUAUUAAUACUUGCAUGCAUAUUACCAACUUGGUACUUCCUGAAAACCUAAAAUUCAGAAUCUUUCCUUUCCUCCCCGGCAAGCGGCCCCAGAAAUUAUUUUUUUCCCUUUCUGGAUUCAAACGAGCUACAACCGACCUCUCUUUUUAUUUUUUAAUUUAUUUAUAUUAAAAUUCUAGCCUAUAUAUGCUUAUAACUCUAUAACUUAAAGUCUUUAAAUUCUAAAUGAUGAAUUAGCACAGUUAAAUUCCCUUUAAAAAUAAUUAAAAUACUAACUUCUGGUCAGAGCAGAUGCAUUUGCAU